CCCCGGCGUGUGCGCGCCCGCCUCCUCUCAGCCACACCCCCUCCCGACGCCGUGCGCGCCCUCCCCUCAGCGUCGGGCGCGUCCGUUCUUUUCCCCCUUCAGCGAUCAUCUCUCAAAGGGGGACCGGCGGCUGCUUUCCCGCCCUUUUCCCCUUCACAGAGCGGGGUGCUAGUCAGACAUCCCCCCUCCCCUUCCGCGCCUCCCCCCCGUUCUGUGAGGGCGCAGCGCAUGCGCAGAGAGCGGGGGUUCGGUUCGCCCCGUUGAAGGCCGGGGUCGUCGUCGUCGUCGGGCACCCGCGGCCAGUCCCGCCGCCGCGGUCGGGGUCCCCCCUCCUCCCCCGGGGUCGCCGUACGCAUCCCUGCGGAGGGAGGGGUCUCCGGAGGCCGGCCGCCCGUCAGUUUCCAGGGAAGCAGUCAGGCAUCACACAUUGGGGUACCUGGAGAAUGCAGUUCACAUGAUGCACCUCCUCGUUUUGGCGUUUCUGGGACCAAGCCCUGCUCCAGGAGUUGGAGGGCACUGAGGACUCGCUUUUUCCCCUCCUAAGAGGGUGCUGAAGAAGGGGAGGGCAGGUCUCUGAAGGCCUUUGACAGACUUCUCCUCAUGAAGAGGAAUUGAAGCAACAGUCUCUGAUAGUGCUGCUUCUUCUACUGCCAAGUGUCUGAUCUUUCCAUAGACAAUGAAGGAGCAUGCCAGAACCAAAGAGCAUA